UCCCAAGGUGCGAUUGUGAGCGCGAAUUGUUGGUCGUCUAUGUGCGCCAUGCGAUCGGCUGGCAACCAGUUGACGGCAUUCAUAAAAUGGGCCAAAAGGAAAAAGCUCCUGUGGCAAAUCGGUUUCCGUCUGCCAGAACUUCUUGAUGAGUCUGAUUUUUUUCAGCAAAUUCUAUAUCCGAUAUUGUUUGAGUGUGUAAAAAUGGGUCUUCCGAUUGUUGUUGGAACAUUUCAGGUCUUGUUUUAAGUUUUACGAUGUGCCAGUUAUUUUUAUUUAUUUUUUGCAAUUCUUGAAUUAUCUGUUUAGUUAAUCAAGGACUUGACUUGGUUAAUGCUCAAUAAAGUAAAAUAAAAGUUAUGAAAGUGGAGAGGAGAAACAAUUUUGUACUUUUUUAUUAGUUGCAAAAUCCAGUGUGACAUCAGAUGAAAUGCCAGCGUUGUAUAUUAUAAACCAUAAUUACUUCAUGUUUUGCUAAUUGGUUCUCAUUUGAAAACUGGGAAAAACUCAACGUCAUUUUGAUUUUGUGGAAAUUUUGUGGCGCAAGUUAUACAGUACAGUAUAUGCCUUCCAAGUUUUUUUUUUAAACUGAACCCAAUGAGAAAAACAGCGUCUUUCCCCAUGGAAAACUGUGGAACACAUCGCCAUCUACAGACGAAAGAAAGCUCAUCUGCGGAGCUCACCCCUCAUGAACCGCACGGAAAAUGGACAAAGCGUCCGUGCUUUUGUGUGCGUGUUUGUAUCUCUGCCCCCUCCCUACUGUCGUGCGCAUGUACUCUGCAAGACAACAAAUUCGAGCCGCUCCGGUUCCUGGUAAUGUGCGGAAGGUCAUUGUUCGAGUUCGACUCGUGAUCAACUUGAAAACGAGAAGAACCUGCUGGCUCAGUACGACGACCUCAUUCGUGGCCAGUUUGAGAUGCGCCUAGCGUGUCACAAUGACAAUGUUAAAGAAGACGUACAUUUUCCACCCGCAAUUUAAAGCGACUUCUUGGUGUUUUAAUAACAUGACUGUGACAUGCUUGUUGGAGCGUGGAAAAAAAAAAGCAAGCAUCAUGAAAGACAACAAAAGCAUUUUAAUCAUGGCGCCAGCUCUUCGUAAACAUGACAUUGAUUAUGUUACAAAAAGUAAAGAACAACCUAAAAAAAACUUGUCCGAGAUAAAAUAAUCAACACGUUCAACAUUUUAUAUUUAUCGGUUCGUACCAGGUAAUAAAUAAAUAAAUACAAAAAAAACAACUCUCAUAAUAAUGUAGGGCAAGCCCCGCCUCUCCGAGUCAGCUGGUGCACAGAAAAAAAGAAUCCUCUAUACAGUAUUUACUUAAUUCGAACAUGUCGGUUGCAUGUGAUUAAAAUGUGGUAAACGGCUAUAAUUUUCACAUCUUCUCAAAAAUUAUCAAAUGAUAUAUGCCAAUCGGUAAAAAAAAUGGAUGGAUGUUGCUUUAACAUGUUCAUGUGCUGCCCAGACACCUUGAGAACUUGAGCGACAAACAUGAAAAGGAAGAUGGCAUCUUCCAUGUGUUUGUUAUUGUCGAAGUGAGCGUUUCAACCGUGCGUGAACCGCAAACUGGACACACAAGUUACUCAGGGUGUCUUUAUUCGCUGGCCAAGGGUUUCACAGGUUGAUAGUGAGAAUCGUUCUUCAAAUUGGGGGGAAGUCAUCUGUUCAAUGCCACAAAAUAAUAUAAUCAAAGGUUCAAAAACUUGAGUGAGAGCCAAGUCAGCAGCGUCAUGGUGUGUGUCACUGUUAUGACUUUUUCACCCUACUGCUCCUUUGCAAACUCAACACAG